rnacentral:tRNA from 1 species
ACUCUUUUAGUUUAUAAUUAAAAUAUGACUCUGAAGAAGUUAAGAACAUUAGGAGUA